rnacentral:misc_RNA from 1 species
CCUUUGAUUUUACGUAAAUGGAAAGAGGGGGAUGUUUUUCAUCCUUUUGGAAUGCACGGAAAGUCUAAAA